rfam:Pan troglodytes isolate Yerkes chimp pedigree #C0471 (Clint) chromosome 11, whole genome shotgun sequence.
AGGACUGUACUUUCAGGGAUCAUUUCUAUAGUUUGUUUCUAGAGAAGUUUCUCUGAAUAUAUAGAGCACUGGAAAAAUCCAUU